rnacentral:rRNA from 1 species
UACGAAGGGUGCAAGCGUUACUCGGAAUUACUGGGCGUAAAGCGUGCGUAGGUGGUGAGUUAAGUCUGUCGUGAAAGCCCCCGGGCUCAACCUGGGAAUGGCGAUGGAUACUGGCUCGCUAGAGUGCGGUAGAGGCGAGUGGAAUUCCCGGUGUAGUGGUGAAAUGCGUAGAGAUCGGGAGGAACACCUGUGGCGAAGGCGGCUCGCCAGAACGCACUCGACGGUGAGGGAUGAAAGCUGGGGGAGCAACCGGG